rnacentral:rRNA from 1 species
UCGAACGAUGAAGCCCUUCGGGGUGGAUUAGUGGCGAACGGGUGAGUAACACGUGGGCAAUCUGCCCUUCACUCUGGGACAAGCCCUGGAAACGGGGUCUAAUACCGGAUAACACUUCUUCGGGCAUCUGAAGAGGUUAAAAGCUCCGGCGGUGAAGGAUGAGCCCGCGGCCUAUCAGCUUGUUGGUGGGGUAAUGGCCUACCAAGGCGACGACGGGUAGCCGGCCUGAGAGGGCGACCGGCCACACUGGGACUGAGACACGGCCCAGACUCCUACGGGAGGCAGCAGUGGGGAAUAUUGCACAAUGGGCGAAAGCCUGAUGCAGCGACGCCGCGUGAGGGAUGACGGCCUUCGGGUUGUAAACCUCUUUCAGCAGGGAAGAAGCGAAAGUGACGGUACCUGCAGAAGAAGCGCCGGCUAACUACGUGCCAGCAGCCGCGGUAAUACGUAGGGCGCAAGCGUUGUCCGGAAUUAUUGGGCGUAAAGAGCUCGUAGGCGGCUUGUCGCGUCGGAUGUGAAAGCCCGGGGCUUAACCCCGGGUCUGCAUUCGAUACGGGCAGGCUAGAGUGUGGUAGGGGAGAUCGGAAUUCCUGGUGUAGCGGUGAAAUGCGCAGAUAUCAGGAGGAACACCGGUGGCGAAGGCGGAUCUCUGGGCCAUUACUGACGCUGAGGAGCGAAAGCGUGGGGAGCGAACAGGAUU